CAUAGGAAUGUUUUAAAAGGAAUGAACCCACAAGUACAAAAGGAUGACAGUGGACACAAAAACAACAUAAUUUUGGAAAAUGAUAGGUGUCAUAACAAACUGGUGAUAGAUGUAUAUUGAACCUCUGUUGCAAAAGCCCUGGAUUCCUGUUCUUAUUCCACUAGGUGUCACUUUAGCACCGUGAAAUUGAAUGUUUCUGGGUGACCAUAUUAAAUCUUUGCUGCUCAUAAACACAUUUCUUUUAAUCCUUAAAAAAUCAUGAUAUGAAAUGUAUAUUUAAUAAAGUAGUCAGUUUGUAUGUAUAAUAAUUAUUGUCUACCCAAAUGUCUAUUUUUGUUUCAUCGACUUGAAUUAAUGUCAGCUGUUGGUGUGGUAGUCUACAUCAAGGCAAUGGAAAAAGAAAGCAAUCGCACAUAGGAAUGACAGUAAUGAGUACAUUUCCUGCAUCAGUAUUUUGGGUUUUCAGUUAGUGAUUUGUUCCUUUAACAGCUUCACUAUUUGGCCAAUAGUGAAGAUCCAAAGUAUAGCAUUCAUGAUUUAAAGAAUAUGGACAAUAAUUGAAUAACUUAGUGUCAUGCUGACUGAUUUACUUCCUUGUUAAGAGGACAAGUUGGUUAAUUCAUCACUUAGAUAUUUUCAGCUUAUUUUUUUCCCCAUGACUACUCAAUAUAACAUCUCUGAUUUUGGCUUUAUGUCAACCUGACCUGAAUUCAUCUGAAUGUUAGCUUCAUCUUACAUUAAAUAGUGAAGACAUGCCUUAGGUCAUAUCUUCAAAGGACAGAAAGAGUUUUAUAUUUGUGAAAAUUAUUUCAUAUUGAGUUCUGUUUUCCUUAGCAUGCAAUAACUUUGUCAUUUUGCUUAAUACAGCUGUUGCUACAUUUUUAAGGGGAAAAGUGACAUGCUGAAUUAUUUUUCAAAUUCAGUACAUAAAAAAGCAUUAAAGUGCACUGUUUUGGGCACUUGUAUUUAAUAUGGUCAAUACUGUAAUGAGUUUUCAGCAACAGAG
ensembl:lncRNA